rnacentral:lncRNA from 1 species
UGGUUUGUUUAUUAAACAUCAUAUGGAACUAUAUUUUUAUUAUUUUGAUAUGUUUGACUCUAAAUAAAAAUCUAACCAAAGAUACCAGUCUAUAUAAGACCCAUCAAUACAGCUCGAAUCAUAACAACUAUAGCUUACUUCAUAUACGAAGUUUAAGAGAAUUCCAAUUUCAAAAUGUGUGUCAAAUAAGGUCAAUUUUUCGUUGGGUGAAAGUACAUGUCAUUCUACAAGUUUGUGUUUCCAACGAAUGCCAAAAAAAUCAGUAUUUAUCAUGCUACUUUUUAUCGAUAACGUGCGCAUAUAUAUAUUUGAUAUCUCAAAAAAGUAUGCAUUAAACAAUGUAUACCAAAUUUUUAUACGGACGCCAUCUAGGAUGACGGAUGACGGAUGACGUAGUAACGACAAUUGGAACAUAUCCGUAGUCAGCUGAUAAAUAGAUUUGAACGUAUAAAUGAGGAAAAAUUUCUAAUUUAGAAAGAUCAUACCAUAGGGAACAUGUGUACUAAGUCAUAAGUUGAUUGGACUUCAACUUCAUCAAAAACUACCUCGACCAAAAACUUUAACCUGAAGCGGGACAGACGGACAAACGCACGGAAUAACGGACGAACGGACAAACGAACGAACGAACGAACAGACGGACGCACAGACCAGAAAACAUAAUGUCCAUAAAUGGGGCAUAACAUAUUUAAAAUCCUAAUGUUUAACAAUGAAAAGCUGAGUAAACCAAACGGACUAAAUAUAUUGCCAAACCCGCAUACAAAGAAUAAGAGCUUUGCAGUUAGAAAUAUGUCUUUUUAACCAAUCUUUAUAAUGUUGAGAGUAGUCUCGGAUCCAGAUAA